rnacentral:rRNA from 1 species
UACAGAGGUCUCAAGCGUUGUUCGGAUUCAUUGGGCGUAAAGGGUGUGUAGGUGGCGCGCUAAGUCGGGUGUGAAAUUUCGGAGCUUAACUCCGAAACUGCAUUCGAUACUGGCGUGCUUGAGGACUGGAGAGGAGACUGGAAUUUACGGUGUAGCGGUGAAAUGCGUAGAUAUCGUAAGGAAGACCAGUGGCGAAGGCGGGUCUCUGGACAGUUCCUGACGCUGAGGCACGAGGGCCAGGGGAGCAAACGGG